GCGACGGGUGAGUAACCGUGGGCAAUCUGCCCUGCACUCUGGGACAAGCCCUGGAAACGGGGUCUAAUACCGGAUACUGAUCCUCGCAGGCAUCUGCGAGGUUCGAAAGCUCCGGCGGUGCAGGAUGAGCCCGCGGCCUAUCAGCUAGUUGGUGAGGUAACGGCUCACCAAGGCGACGACGGGUAGCCGGCCUGAGAGGGCGACCGGCCACACUGGGACUGAGACACGGCCCAGACUCCUACGGGAGGCAGCAGUGGGGAAUAUUGCACAAUGGGCGAAAGCCUGAUGCAGCGACGCCGCGUGAGGGAUGACGGCCUUCGGGUUGUAAACCUCUUUCAGCAGGGAAGAAGCGAAAGUGACGGUACCUGCAGAAGAAGCGCCGGCUAACUACGUGCCAGCAGCCGGGGGUAAUACG
rnacentral:rRNA from 1 species